GGACGGGUGAGUAAUGUCUGGGAAACUGCCCGAUGGAGGGGGAUAACUACUGGAAACGGUAGCUAAUACCGCAUAACGUCGCAAGACCAAAGAGGGGACCUUCGGGCCUCUUGCCAUCGGAUGUGCCCAGAUGGGAUUAGCUAGUAGGUGGGGUAACGGCUCACCUAGGCGACGAUCCCUAGCUGGUCUGAGAGGAUGACCAGCCACACUGGAACUGAGACACGGUCCAG
rnacentral:rRNA from 1 species